AUUGAACGCUGGCGGCAGGCCUAACACAUGCAAGUCGAACGGAGCGGCGGACGGGUGAGUAAUGCUUAGGAAUGUGCCUGGUCGCGGGGGAUAACGUCCGGAAACGGGAGCUAAUGCCGCAUACUAUCAGAUGAGGCUAGGGCGGAUUAGCUAGUUGGUGGGGUAAAGGCCUACCCAGGCGACGAUCCGUAACUGGUCUGAGAGGAUGAUCAGUCACACUGGAACUGAGACACGGUCCAGACUCCUACGGGAGGCAGCAGUGGGGAAUAUUGGACAAUGGGCGAAAGCCUGAUCCAGCCAUGCCGCGUGUAUGAAGAAGGUCUUCGGUUUGUAAAGCACUUUAAGUUGGGAGGCGUUACCAACAGAAUAAGCACCGGCUAACUUCGUGCCAGCAGCCGCGGUAAUAC
rnacentral:rRNA from 1 species